rnacentral:rRNA from 6 species
AGACCCGAAACCCGGUGAUCUAGCCAUGGGCAGGUUGAAGGUUGGGUAACACUAACUGGAGGACCGAACCGACUAAUGUUGAAAAAUUAGCGGAUGACCUGUGGCUGGGGGUGAAAGGCCAAUCAAACCGGGAGAUAGCUGGUUCUCCCCGAAAGCUAUUUAGGUAGCGCCUCGUGAAUUCAUCUCCGGGGGUAGAGCACUGUUUCGGCUAGGGGGCCAUCCCGGCUUACCAACCCGAUGCAAACUGCGAAUACCGGAGAAUGUUAUCACGGGAGACACACGGCGGGUGCUAACGUCCGUCGUGAAGAGGGAAACAACCCAGACCGCCAGCUAAGGUCCCAAAGUCAUGGUUAAGUGGGAAACGAUGUGGGAAGGCCCAGACAGCCAGGAUGUUGGCUUAGAAGCAGCCAUCAUUUAAAGAAAGCGUAAUAGCUCACUGGUCGAGUCGGCCUGCGCGGAAGAUGUAACGGGGCUAAACCAUGCACCGAAGCUGCGGCAGCGAACGUAUCACUUAAAGCGAUUCAGCGGGUUACGAUUGACGGAGCGAAGCGACGUCAAAGCGUAUACAAAGUCGAGUCGGUUUAAGGAUACGUUCGUUGGGUAGGGGAGCGUUCUGUAAGCCUGUGAAGGUGUGUCGUGAGGCAUGCUGGAGGUAUCAGAAGUGCGAAUGCUGACAUAAGUAACGAUAAAGCGGGUGAAAAGCCCGCUCGCCGGAAGACCAAGGGUUCCUGUCCAACGUUAAUCGGGGCAGGGUGAGUCGACCCCUAAGGCGAGGCCGAAAGGCGUAGUCGAUGGGAAACGGGUUAAUAUUCCCGUACUUGGUGUUACUGCGAAGGGGGGACGGAGAAGGCUAUGUUGGCCGGGCGACGGUUGUCCCGGUUUAAGCGUGUAGGUGUGUGUUCCAGGUAAAUCCGGUU